ensembl:snRNA U6 U6 spliceosomal RNA
GUGCUCACUUCGGCAGCACACAUACUAAAAUUGGGACGAUACAGAGAGGAUUAGCAUGGGCCCUGCACAAGGGUAACACGCAAAUUCAUGAAGCAUUCCAUAUGUUU